UACGUAGGUGGCAAGCGUUGUCCGGAUUUACUGGGCGUAAAGAGCGCGCAGGCGGUCGACCAAGUCGCGUGUGAAAGCCCUGGGCUCAACCUGGGAACUGCAGUGGAAACUGGACAACUAGAGUGUGGUAGAGGGUAGCGGAAUUCCCGGUGUAGCAGUGAAAUGCGUAGAGAUCGGGAGGAACAUCCAUGGCGAAGGCAGCUACCUGGACCAACACUGACACUGAGGCACGAAAGCGUGGGGAGCAAACAGG
rnacentral:rRNA from 1 species